ensembl:lincRNA
GUUCCCUGCAGGUUACACUAUUUGCCAAUAUCUAUUUAAUUGUAGCAAUAACAGGAAAAACUCCCAAAUCCAACCAGCUAGAAAUUCUCUGGCUCUCUUCCACUUUAGUGGAAUCAAAUUUUUGCACUUGCGGUCAUCUUUAUAUAUGAGAGGAGAGUGAGGCUGGGAGAAACUUGGUGUUAAAAAUAAAGCAAAGUUCCAGACUCUCACUCUCGAGAGCUCAUGGAAGAUUCUGGCUUUUUAUUAUUAAUGAUUAGCGUUGACACCAUCCCCCAACCUCAAGAGCAUGCUGAGGAUCUUCAGGGAACUCCAGCUUGAUCUGGGCAGCUGCCAGGGUUGGCAUCUAUCUGAAGAUUCUGUUCUCCUCCUGCCCAUCAUGUCAAGGUACCAUGCAGGCUGCCUGAAUGGACAAAGUCACCCAAACAGAUGUCUUCCUCUGAGUUUCGAAGUGACAGCAGGAAGGGCUGAACCCUCACGUCUAUUUCUCCAAAGAUGGAGUGAGGCUCUGUCUCUGUGCUGUUAUUCUGUCCUCCCGUCCAUCUGA